ACGCUCGACACCUACGGGAGACAGCAGUGGGGAAUAUUGGGCAAUGGGCGAAAGCCUGACCCAGCAACGCCGCGUGAGGGAAGAAGGUUUUCGGAUUGUAAACCUCUGUCCUCAGGGACGAAGGACGUGACGGUACCUGAGGAGGAAGCCCCGGCUAACUACGUGCCAGCAGCCGUGGUAAUCUGAGCGGGCUGGCAAGGC
rnacentral:rRNA from 1 species